GCUCAACCAAAUGUCUUGGUACACGGCAAAUUUUUGCCCAGUGCCCUUCUCCACCGCAACGAGAACACAUAGUUUCUGAACUAUUUGCUUUUGGAUCCUCAUAAUUCUGUUUCCGCUUUUGGUAGUUAUCUCUCUUUGGGGGUGACUAACACCAGGAAAAUUUCUUCCUUGUCCACGUCCACGCCCAUGACCCCGAUCACGACCACGACCACGAUUAAAGCCAUAGCCUUUUCCACGCUUAGCAUAA
rnacentral:lncRNA from 1 species